rnacentral:misc_RNA from 1 species
GAACGCACAUUGCGCCCUCUGGUAUUCCGGGGGGCAUGCCUGUUCGAGCGUCAUUACAACCCUCAAGCUCAGCUUGGUAUUAGGCUUCACCCUUAGGGGCGGGCUUUAAAAUCAGUGGCGGUGCCAUUUGGCUUCAAGCGUAGUAAUUUUCUCGCUUUGGAGACCGGGUGUGUGUUUGCCAACAACCCCAUAUUUUUUAAAGGUUGACCUCGGAUCAGGUAGGGAUACCCGCUGAACUUAAG